AGAGUUUGAUCCUGGCUCAGAGUGAACGCUGGCGGUAGGCCUAACACAUGCAAGUCGAACGGCAGCACAGUAAGAGCUUGCUCUUACGGGUGGCGAGUGGCGGACGGGUGAGGAAUACAUCGGAAUCUACUUUUUCGUGGGGGAUAACGUAGGGAAACUUACGCUAAUACCGCAUACGACCUACGGGUGAAAGCAGGGGAUCUUCGGACCUUGCGCGAUUGAAUGAGCCGAUGUCGGAUUAGCUAGUUGGCGGGGUAAAGGCCCACCAAGGCGACGAUCCGUAGCUGGUCUGAGAGGAUGAUCAGCCACACUGGAACUGAGACACGGUCCAGACUCCUACGGGAGGCAGCAGUGGGGAAUAUUGGACAAUGGGCGCAAGCCUGAUCCAGCCAUACCGCGUGGGUGAAGAAGGCCUUCGGGUUGUAAAGCCCUUUUGUUGGGAAAGAAAUCCAGCUGGUUAAUACCCGGUUGGGAUGACGGUACCCAAAGAAUAAGCACCGGCUAACUUCGUGCCAGCAGCCGCGGUAAUACGAAGGGUGCAAGCGUUACUCGGAAUUACUGGGCGUAAAGCGUGCGUAGGUGGUUGUUUAAGUCUGUUGUGAAAGCCCUGGGCUCAACCUGGGAACUGCAGUGGAAACUGGACGACUAGAGUGUGGUAGAGGGUAGCGGAAUUCCUGGUGUAGCAGUGAAAUGCGUAGAGAUCAGAGGAACAUCCAUGGCGAAAGCAGCUACCUGGACCAACACUGACACUGAGGCACGAAAGCGUGGGGAG
rnacentral:rRNA from 1 species